AAUGGGGGGAACCCUGACCGAGCAACGCCGCGUGAGUGAAGAAGGUUUUCGGAUCGUAAAGCUCUGUUGUUAAGGAAGAACGAGUGUGAGAAUGGAAAGUUCAUACUGUGACGGUACUUAACCAGAAAGGGACGGCUAACUACGUGCCAGCAGCCGCGGUAAUACGUAGGUCCCGAGCGUUGUCCGGAUUUAUUGGGCGUAAAGCGAGCGCAGGCGGUUAGAAAAGUCUGAAGUGAAAGGCAGUGGCUCAACCAUUGUAGGCUUUGGAAACUGUUUAACUUGAGUGCAGAAGGGGAGAGUGGAAUUCCAUGUGUAGCGGUGAAAUGCGUAGAUAUAUGGAGGAACACCGGUGGCGAAAGCGGCUCUCUGGUCUGUAACUGACGCUGAGGCUCGAAAGCGUGGGGAGCGAACAGGAUUAGAUACCCUGGUAGUCCACGCCGUAAACGAUGAGUGCUAGGUGUUAGGUCCUUUCCGGGACUUAGUGCCGCAGCUAACGCAUUAAGCACUCCGCCUGGGGAGUACGACCGCAAGGUUGAAACUCAAAGGAAUUGACGGGGGCCCGCACAAGCGGUGGAGCAUGUGGUUUAAUUCGAAGCAACGCGAAGAACCUUACCAGGUCUUGACAUCCCGAUGCUAUUUCUAGAGAUAGGAAGUUUCUUCGGAACAUCGGUGACAGGUGGUGCAUGGUUGUCGUCAGCUCGUGUCGUGAGAUGU
rnacentral:rRNA from 1 species